UUCUAGGGAAAUUCUUAGCUAGUCUGGGACUGCAAGGUCAGCUUGCUAACCUUGUAGUCCCAACCAGUAAGCUGAUGCCACGGUAGAAAAAAAAAAAAAGAUUACAUCAUCCUAACUGCCACAUCAGCACAAUAACCAUUGAUAAUCCUAACUUCUGUUAACUUAUAAAAUGGUGAAAGCAAAUUCAAAAAAAUUCAAAAUUUUGGGGAUGUGAAUGGCAAGUCAGAUUUGGGUUUAAAUGUUUAAUAUGCUGCAAAUUUCAGAAUCCUCUCUUUCAUUUUCUCCAUUUUCUCUUCUCUUCAGCUCUCUCUCUCUCUCUCUCUCUCUCUCUCUCUGCUUUACCUCCACCAAAUUUGAAAAUCUCUAUUUCUUCUAACACACCUUUUUGUGGGGCAAACAUGGCCAAAUCUCCAUGGUAGCAGCAACCACCGAGUCCCACACCACCACCAACAACGAUGCUUGCUUGCCUAUUUGACCUUCUCCCAUCUUAAGGCAAUUAGCAUUGAUGCCAAAAUUAGAGCAUUUGAAGUUGCACCAUGAAUGAAGGUUGAGGGCUUGAGGAUAAGUUGAAGCAUCAGUGGGAGAACAUUUAUAUUUAUUUAUCUAAGCUAAGAUGAUGAAUUAAUGUGAAUGUAAAUGUGAGGAUAGGGAGAUUUUUUCCCCUCCUUAAGUUGAACUCUCUUGUAGUCUUUGACAAAGAAUGUAUUUUUUCUUCACUCUUUGUUUAUAUCUGUAUAGUAGUGAAUUUUUUUCUUUAGUUGUGAGCCUUUUUUAUGUGAUAUUUAUGUGAUAGUAGAGGGAAAAGAGAUGUUGGUUGUAAAUGACUAAUAGAAAAGAGAUGCAAAAAUAUUGAACCUA